GGCCCGGUUCACGGCCGCAGUGCGGGGCCCCGCGCUCCCCUCCCUCGCGUGCUAUCCCUCCACGUCGCCGAGUUUACCAGCGCGUUUUGUUCCCUUUCGGAUUCCGGGCCGAGGGGCUGUCACCGUGCUCUCCUCCGACGGACGCUAAUCAAAAGAAGCUGGGGCAGCAGCAUGAAUGUGUUGGAAGAUUGGAGGCCACUGAUGCUGAAAAAAGGAGAAAAGAGGGAGGGAGCCUCCUGCAGACAAGUCACCUUGCUCAUAUCAGCCAGGCCAGCGGCUCCAAGUGUCAGAACUUCCAUUCGCAGCCAGCAAAUGAACAGCCGGGCCCUGCAUGCUAAUGACGUCCAGGCUAUUUUGCACCUUUUCAUCCGCACAUUAUGCUCUUGACUCUGGAGAAGGUGGGAAUUAGGCCGGACCCCGGUGUCAGACUGCCUGACGGCUCGGCUCCGGAAAACUGGUAAUUGAAGCUGAUGAGUGAUGCGAGGGAGGCCUGAAUUUGGAAAUAAACAGUUUCAAGCACUGCA
rnacentral:lncRNA from 1 species